rnacentral:rRNA from 1 species
CGGAAAAAGAGUCGACGGUAGCACAGAGAGCUUGCUCUCGGGUGACGAGUGGCGGACGGGUGAGUAAUGUCUGGGAAACUGCCCGAUGGAGGGGGAUAACUACUGGAAACGGUAGCUAAUACCGCAUAAUGUCGCAAGACCAAAGAGGGGGACCUUCGGGCCUCUUGCCAUCGGAUGUGCCCAGAUGGGAUUAGCUAGUAGGUGGGGUAACGGCUCACCUAGGCGACGAUCCCUAGCUGGUCUGAGAGGAUGACCAGCCACACUGGAACUGAGACACGGUCCAGACUCCUACGGGAGGCAGCAGUGGGGAAUAUUGCACAAUGGGCGCAAGCCUGAUGCAGCCAUGCCGCGUGUAUGAAGAAGGCCUUCGGGUUGUAAAGUACUUUCAGCGAGGAGGAAGGCGUUGUGGUUAAUAACCACAGCGAUUGACGUUACUCGCAGAAGAAGCACCGGCUAACUCCGUGCCACAGCCGCGGUAAUACGGAGGGUGCAAGCGUUAAUCGGAAUUACUGGGCGUAAAGCGCACGCAGGCGGUCUGUCAAGUCGGAUGUGAAAUCCCCGGGCUCAACCUGGGAACUGCAUCCAAACUGGCAGGU